rnacentral:lncRNA from 1 species
GCAGUCUCCUGUCCACUCAUGAAAAUAUCUUUUUUUUUCUUUCAGGAUUUUAAUUUGCCUUCCUUCAACACAACAGUGAAGAACGAGCGUACCAGCAUUUCUUCAGGACACACCUGUGCGCCAUGGCGGAGGAGCCCAUCUUGAGGAAGGCAGGUUUUGCACACAGGUGGUGAUUGGGAGGCCUCAACAGGCUCCUGACCAACCAAAUAAAGGCUGGUGGAAAGACAAAGCCUGUGCAUUGGGAGGUGGGGGCUGGAAUGGGGAAGGAGACACUUUAGACAAGGUUAUUAGCAGAUGUUGUUUAAAUGUUCUGAAUGCCAAACUGUAAUAAGAAAGAU